rnacentral:rRNA from 1 species
GGGUCAGUAGGUUGGUCCUGCCACCGGUACGUACUGGUCUCACUGAUUCCUCCUUCCUGAAGAACCGUAAUGCCAUUAAUUUGGUGUUGCGGGGAAACAGGACUGUUACUUUGAAAAAAUUAGAGUGUUUAAAGCAGGCUAACGCUUGAAUACAUUAGCAUGGAAUAAUGAAAUAGGACGAUCGAUCCUAUUUUGUUGGUUUCUAGGAUUGACGUA